UGGGGCAUAGCCAAGCGGUAAGGCAGCGGGCUCUGAACUCGCCAGCUCUGGUUCGAAUCCAGAUGCCCCAGCCA
rnacentral:tRNA from 1 species